ensembl:lncRNA
GCCUCAACCAGACCACAGAGAACUGAUGCCUGGAGAUCUCUCCUGCUGUGGGGCUCAGUGACCUGCAGGAACUAGUUGGACCUCUAUCUUCCCAGCCCUGUUUUACUGAGUGUGGGAAUCUUGCCCAGCCUCUGACAUCGUACAGGUUGAUACUCAUCAGGUUGCCCUUUUAUGGACCACGAUACCAGAGUCAAGAAUACGGAAACUAUAGCGCUCUCUGUGACCUUGACUGAUGGGUGUUUAAUGAAUUUCUAGGUGGUAAUUAUCACUGAUGAUUUUAUAUAAUCUCUGAAGAUAAGACCACGCAGUCAGAAUGCCUCGGUUCUCAAUAUAAAACCUUUGUUUUGCUUGCUGUAGGAGCAAUGUGUUGCUGUACAUUAAACAGAGUAAGUUCUAAUGCCAAGGGUGUUCCCCGGGC